UUCGACUUCGUAGUGUAGUGGUGGAAGCGUGGAAGUGGAAGUGUAGUCUGCACUGCACUAGUGCACUCUGCAGACGGUCGUUUUCUUGUAAUUAACCUAUAAGGUGUGGCGGACGAUGUUGGAGGUUGGAGGAGAUACAGCAUCGAUCCUGGAGUGUUCUCUAGUUUCUUGAUGAGGAUGUUUGAUCGCCAUGUUUCCUUGGGGUGUUGCAGCACCACAGAACCUACUCGUCUACUUGCCUGCAGCUACGAGCUGUUAGAGACUCGUCUACUUGCCCGCAGCUACGAGCUGUUAGAGAACAAGCAGCCAUAUUGGGUCAGUGAACUGUCUUGACUUCAAGAGAGCGAGACUCAGUCAAGAUGCAGAAGGCGGCCAGUGCCAUUGCAUGGAUGGCUUGCAAGUUAGCAGUCGACAACAAGUUUUUAUCUUCAUUCGCCAAGUCCACAAUGGCCAAAGAAACACACGGCUAUGAACGAUGACACCUCUUUUUCCUUGGCUUCCGUAGAUGUUAUUCCGGUUACCAGGAAAAUGUUACAGAACCACACAAAUGGGGAGCGAGUGAGAGAACUAUGGUCGGAACUCUGUGAGACACUGAAAGGGAAACUUGGACAAACAUCGGAGCAGUUGGACUACUUAACGACAUCCAGGAUUCACCCAACUGAUUUGUCAUCUCCAUAUAUGACCCUACAAUUGUCUUGCAACCGUGUGGUCACCAAUUGUAUAACACUGGUGUAAAUAAAAUAUGAUA